UACACUUUCUUGUUUACCGCAUAAUUCCAUGUGUUACUUCAUAGUUGUGACAUCUUCAGUAUUAAUCUACAAUGUAGAAAAUAAUGAAAAACCAUUGAAUAAGAGGGUGUGUCCAAACCUAAUUGUUUCUGUGUUUAAUGUUGCUUUUCAGUGUUGCUGUUAUCAAAAAAGGGUUGAUAAUGCCCCUUAAAACUAACGAGUAAGGAUCCGUUCACACUGGACAUAAAACGACUUUCAAGAUUGUGACCCAUUUGAAUGUCUUUGCAGGCUGUGCCAAGAAGGGCAAUGAAGUUUUUUUUACUCUGAUUUGUGCAGCUGUUUGUACUAAAUUUGUGCAGGCUUGCAUCUCAUGGGUUUAUUAUUACUGUGACCAAUUGCUAACAUUUCUUCUGCUCUGAGUGCAGCCAUUGACACAUACACCCUUGCCAACCCAACCAAUAGCUACUCUAUUUCGACAAUCAUAUGCCGAAGUGGGAACUGUUAUUGAUAGCCAGUUAAGUGUUGCGUUAACACUGGUAGCAUUAGGUCAGCACUAAUGUGAUAGCUGCAGCCAAGACAAAGGGUUAAAGUCUUCGAAAAGCAUGUUCUCUGUUCACUGAAGAUCUGACCCUACCUGCCCUGAAAGGAUCCAUCUCUCAAGUCCAUUGUUUGUCAAUUUAUCAACUCUCAUCUCAUCUCAUUAUCUACUGCCUAAUCCAUGAGGGUCGCAGGGAUGUAACCACUUUAUCCCCCAUUUUUCAAGGGGUCACGACGGUUACUGGAGCCAAUCCCAGUUAUCUCUCUGAGCAAAGGCAGGGUACACCCUGGACAAGUCGCCAGCUCAUCGCAGGGCCCUUACUGAUGGCAAAGGCCACCACGCAAGGUGCCAACUGCACAUCAGGAGCAAUUUUGGGGUUCAGUGUCUUGCUCAAGGAUACUUCAACAUGCAGCUCAGUUCUGCCCCAGGGGAGCCAGGAUUCGAACCAGCAACCUUCAAAUCACUAGUCUACUUACUCUACCCGCUCCCAAUUUAUCAACUCAAACUAGUUAUUCAUUUAUUAGAAUAUUUUUUGUGUUGCACUGGAUUGUUUAUUCUGUGACAUAUCUGAAUUUUGAUUUUGUAUUUUGGUUCCCAAAAAUAUCGCAACACAUUUCAUCUGACUUUAAG